rnacentral:rRNA from 1 species
AUGAACAACAAGUUCUUUCCCAUCGUAGACGUUCGCGAUGUUGCCGACGCAUUGCUCCUGUUGUACAACAAGGCAGGGCCAUCUGAGAGAUACAUAUGCUCACUGGACCAAAUGGACCUAAAGGAUUUGCUGGCAAUCAUGAAGAACAUGUACCCUAGCUACACUUAUGCAGACAAGAUGGUUGAUGUGGACUUUAACGUCGGAGUCACUUCGGACAAGCUGAACAAUUUAGGGUGGAAACCAAGGAAGAUGGAGGAGACACUCGUGGAUUGUAUCGAGUCCUAUGAAAAAGCAGGGCUUCUUGGGGUUACAGACGAAGAACCAUGCCGGCUUCCAUUCAUCUACCGAAUGCCGCCUAUCCAGGAAUGA